CAGCUCGAUCGCCCUCCGCGGCGGGGCAGCGCCGGGGGCUGCGUGGGUCCCGCCGCGCCUCCCGCGGGCACCGGCGGCUGCUCCGUGCGGGGGGCGGGGGGUCGGGCAGGCUCCGCGCCCGCCUCCUCCUGGCCGGCUGCGGGCACGGCCCGGCCGACCCGUUCCUGGCGCAGGGCUGCGGGAGGACUCGCCUGCUGAGGACCGCUCCGGGCGUGCGGCGUGCCAGGCAGGCCUGCCUAGGGCUGCCGAGCGCCUGGCAGCCGGCUUCUGUAAAGCGCGGGAAGCACUGGUCUUAAGAAGGUACCGGGGUGGUCCGUGCCGUGCCGAGUUUGCCGCCGCCUGGCUGUGGGGGCAGGCCGAGGGGUUAGAAGCGUGUCACGGGUAGGAAGGCGUCCCGGGAAAAGGGUGCCGGCUUCAGUGGGUUACAGGAGCUGGGACGAGCCACAGGGGUGAAGACAGCCCAGCCCUGCGAGGAGGGGUGAAAGCACAGGCGUCUCCAUCCACACGUUGGUCUCUGAAGAGUUUGCUCCAAGAGCCGUCGUUUAUAGAUGUCAUCAUCAAGAACACAAGCAAACAAUUCCAGAAUCAAGGACAGAGUUGCAGGAGGCCUUUUAAAAGGGCCCUUACUGUUGCCUUUCUGUGCAAGUUCUUCUGAGGUCUGUGAAACUAAGAGGACUCAAUGGAGCUGACUGUUCACAACAUCACAAGCAGAGCAAAUGUAGCCCUAUCCAGAGAGAACCAGGCAGAGGACUCAGAAACUUCUCCUUCAUAGCUAUCAGGGAGAAAUAGAAGUCUUUUAUGUCAGCUUUCUGGUAGAAAUACUAUUUCUUACAAACGUUUCUAAGUGGAUUGUAUACACUCUGAUCUCUUUUAUGAACAGAUCUUGCUGCAUCUUAGCUUCCUGAGCAAUGUCAGUAUUUGCCUUAUUAUUCAGGCUGCCCUCUCUUCAGGGGCUGUCUUUUUGUUCCAUGACUCUGUCCUCCUACUCAAUGCCCUAAUUGCCAAGUGUUCCCUCUAAACUCUACCACAACACAGAUAUUAAAAAGUCACUGAAUACUAAAGUAAAUGAAAGUAUACUCAUGGCCACAGUCACACAUGCUCCUUGGCUACCCGGUGCAUUUGUGGCCUUAUGCAGGGUCCCUUUACCUUUACACAUAUGCACACUUAGAUCAGUCUGCUCCUGCCUCCACACUGUAUUUUAAAUAAAAAGCUUAUAGCUGGUUUCCUACCUGAGUACAUAGCUGACAUCUUAAGGACUAAGCUAACAUUAUAUUACUAGUCAGGAAGAGCCCUCCUCUAAGAGCAGUUCAGAAAACAAAUGCUUUUGUGUGUUCUGUCUGAGAAGCUUUCUUGCUUUGUGCAUUGACUUCCCCCAAAUUUGUCUCUGUUUUGUGUUUCACCUUUACUUGAAGACGGGGUAGAACUCCAGGAUGGGCUUCCAAGUCAUAAAACUGACUUCAGGAUGCAUCUUCUAUUUUGCUUCUGUGUUUAUAUAACAGGCCAUAAAUGUAUCUAAAUGAUAAGUUCUCUGCCAUACUUGAAGGAUUUUUUUUUUAGAUUGUUCUUUAAUUGAUGCCAUUCAAUACAAAAAAGAAUUCAAAAGCUCGCUUGGUGCCUCUGCAAAAUGCCAGGAACAUCUCACCCUUUGCAGAUAAUCUCUUCAUAUAAUGGUGCUAAAAUAUUAGUAAAAAUUGUGUUUAACUCAUAAAUAUUUACACCUAUUUGAAAUGCCAGAAUUUUGCUCUGUGACUCGCACAAAUCAACUGAGUAACAUUGUGUACAAUAAAAAGUGGGUCACUGCCAACUGUGGCUUAUAACCGCAAUGUGAUUUGCAAAUACAUCAAAUUGCUGCCUCAGGACAAGGUGCUGCUUUCAGAGCUCAAUGUCUCCAUUGACUACUGUAGAUUUGGAAUAGUGUUCCAACCUCACAUCUACCAUGAACUGCCAUAAUCUUCCUGCCUAAAUGAGAAGAGGAUUCACCUCUUUAAAAUGCCACCUUGACAUGGAAAAUGAACUGAGGAAGGACCAGCCUGUCCAAACAAUGCAAGUCCUACAAGAUACAUUAAUCCUCAAAGCUGCCUGAAGGAGACAACUGAGAACCACCAUCUCUGGACAGUGGUUUAGACAAUUGAGUCAAUGGAGACUUAUUGCAAAAAACAAAGACAAUUGUAUGGAAAACUGAAAAACAGAAAAAUCCUUUCUCGUGUGAAUGUCCCAGAUACUAGGUACAGCAACACACUUGCACUUUCUAAUCUUUUUGGCCCCAGGUAUCUUGCAUUCCUUUUUUUGUCAGGUGACAGCCUUCCCAUGGAAAAGCGGAGGGCUCUCUUCCCCACCUGUUAUGGUUUGAGGGGGCCCAGGGUAAUUUUAUGGUACCAAUACUGGGACCUAGAAAGAAGGGAUCAUGGGGUCAGAACAGAGAGGGGUCACUAUUCCCUCUCAUUUCCUGCCAUACUCUAUAAAAAGCCAGGAGGACUGGAACUCUGCCCUCUUCCUGCUCCGUUAUUCCUUGCUGCUUUCUUGCUCUCUUGGAGACAGGCUUCUGCUUUUUUGUCAGCUCACCACGUGCUCUGUGGGGUCCAAAUCCAUUGGGUGCUGGGAAGAGCUGUGGACCCUUUUUCUUGAGUUGGCCCUGCCGCAAGGGACCUCUGGACACUUAUACCUGCAAUAAUCAAGAUCAGGUUUUGCGUAUAUUUGUUCCUCAUCACGUGUGUUACUAUCCCUGCCUUGUUCCAGUAAACCUGUUCUAGUUUUAA